GCAGAACGCGAAGAACCUUACCAGGUCUUGACAUCCUCUGCUAACCCUAGAGAUAGGGCGUUCCCCUUCGGGGGACAGAGUGACAGGUGGUGCAUGGUUGUCGUCAGCUCGUGUCGUGAGAUGUUGGGUUAAGUCCCGCAACGAGCGCAACCCUUGAUCUUAGUUGCCAGCAUUCAGUUGGGCACUCUAAGGUGACUGCCGGUGACAAACCGGAGGAAGGUGGGGAUGACGUCAAAUCAUCAUGCCCCUUAUGACCUGGGCUACACACGUGCUACAAUGGAUGGUACAAAGAGCUGCGAACCCGCGAGGGUAAGCCAAUCUCAUAAAGCCAUUCUCAGUUCGGAUUGUAGGCUGCAACUCGCCUACAUGAAGCCGGAAUCGCUAGUAAUCGCGGAUCAGCAUGUCGCGGUGAAUACGUUCCCGGGUCUUGUACACACCG
rnacentral:rRNA from 1 species